AGACAGAAGAAAUGGGCACAUUUCCGUGCAUUCCCUGCUAUUUUUCUCCUCCGUAAUUUGACAUCGGGAACGGCCACACAGGAAACAGCUAAGCAGUGUAAAUGCGUUUCUAAUGAUCUCAAAGCUUCACUACAAGCUUAAUAAUAUCAGCGUCCUCGGAUCAAUCGUUAGAUUUCACACAGCAUUAUUCAUCUCAAACUACAAGAAUGUUGAACACUACUUCCCCUUUACCAAAACAAGAAAGAAUAUAUUAUAGGUGUGUGCAAGAAACUUUGCAAUAAAAUCACCUGGCCUGC